AUUGAACGCUGGCGGCAGGCCUAACACAUGCAAGUCGAGCGAGCGGCGGACGGGUGUGUAAUGUCUGGGAAACUGCCUGAUGGAGGGGGUUAACUACUGGAAACGGUAUCUAAUACCCCAUACCAUCAGAUGUGCCCCGAUGGGCUUAGCGAUUAGGUGGGGGAACGGCUCACCUAGGCGACGAUCCCUAGCCGGUCUGAGAGGAUGACCAGCGACACUGGAACUGAGACACGGUCCAGACUCCUACGGGAGGCAGCAGUGGGGAAUAUUGCACAAUGGGCGCAAGCCUGAUGCAGCCAUGCCGCGUGUGUGAAGAAGGCCUUCGGGUUGUAAAGCACGUUCAGCGGGGAGGCGUUACCCGCAGAAGAAGCACCGGCUAACUCCGUGCCAGCAGCCGCGGUAAUUC
rnacentral:rRNA from 1 species